rnacentral:lncRNA from 1 species
GCCGCGGUGGCCCAGGACCUGCUGGCUCUGGGGUAUGGAGGUGUCCCGGGGGCGGCGUCGCGGGGCGCCUCAUGCCCAGACUUCAGGGGGCUGUGCGUGCGGCUGGCGGCGGAGCUGGCGACGCUGGGCGCCCUCGAGCAGCAGCGAGAGGCGGGCGCGGAGGUGCUGAGCGCCGGCGACGGUAAACACGGAGCGGGAGGGUGGCAGGGGGGCCGCCACGGGGCCACCGAGCCCUGACACCCCUGUCCUCGCAGGCCCUGGCGCGGAGGAGGACUUUCUGCGGCAGCUCGGCAGCCUGCUGCGGGAGCUGCACUGCCCGGAUCGCGCGCUCUGCGGCGGGGAUGGCGCGGCUGCGCUUCGGGAACCCGGUGCCGGACUGCGCCUGCUGCGCUUUCUCUGCUCAGAGCUCCAAGCCACCCGCCUCCUGUGCCUCCGCUCUCUGCUGGAUCCGAGUCCUAGGCCACCCCUUGGUGAAGGG